rnacentral:rRNA from 1 species
AUUGAACGCUGGCGGCAGGCCUAACACAUGCAAGUCGAGCGAGCGGCGGACGGGUGAGUAAUGUCUGGGAACCUGCCUGAUGGAGGGGGAUAACUACGGGAAACGGUAGCUAAUACCGCAUACCAUCAGAUGUUCCCAGGUGGGAAUGGCUAGUAGGUGGGGUAACGGCCCACCUAGGCGACGAUCCCUAGCUGGUCUGAGAGGAUGACCAGCCACACUGGAACUGAGACACGGUCCAGACUCCUACGGGAGGCAGCAGGGGGGAAUAUUGCACAAUGGGCGCAAGCCUGAUGCAGCCAUGCCGCGUGUGUGAAGAAGGCCUUCGGGUUGUAAAGCACUGUCAGCGGGGAGGCGUUACCCGCAGAAGAAGCACCGGCUAACUCCGUGCCAGCAGCCGCGGUAAUUC